AUCUUUUUAGUAUAAAAAAAUAUAUUUGACUUCCAAUCAAAAGAUCUUUUAACUAAGAAAAGAUA
rnacentral:tRNA from 1 species